rnacentral:rRNA from 1 species
ACGCUAGCUACAGGCUUAACACAUGCAAGUCGAGGGGAAACGGCAUUAAGUGCUUGCACUUUUUGGACGUCGACCGGCGCACGGGUGAGUAACGCGUAUCCAACCUUCCCAUGACUAAGGGAUAACCUGCCGAAAGGCAGACUAAUACCUUAUGGUCUUCACUGACGGCAUCAGAUGUGAAGUAAAGAUUUAUCGGUUAUGGAUGGGGAUGCGUCUGAUUAGUUAGUUGGCGGGGUAACGGCCCACCAAGGCAACGAUCAGUAGGGGUUCUGAGAGGAAGGUCCCCCACAUUGGAACUGAGACACGGUCCAAACUCCUACGGGAGGCAGCAGUGUGGAAUAUUGGUCAAUGGGCGAGAGCCUGAACCAGCCAAGUAGCGUGCAGGAUGACGGCCCUAUGGGUUGUAAACUGCUUUUGUAUGGGGAUAAAGUCAAUCACGUGUGAUUGUUUGCAGGUACCAUACGAAUAAGGACCGGCUAAUUCCGUGCCAGCAGCCGCGGUAAUACGGAAGGUCCGGGCGUUAUCCGGAUUUAUUGGGUUUAAAGGGAGCGUAGGCUGGAGAUUAAGUGUGUUGUGAAAUGUAGACGCUCAACGUCUGACUUGCAGCGCAUACUGGUUUCCUUGAGUACGCACAACGUUGGCGGAAUUCGUCGUGUAGCGGUGAAAUGCUUAGAUAUGACGAAGAACUCCGAUUGCGAAGGCAGCUGACGGGAGCGAAACUGACGCUGAAGCUCGAAGGUGCGGGUAUCGAACAGGAUUAGAUACCCUGGUAGUCCGCACAGUAAACGAUGGAUGCCCGCUGUUGGUACGUGGUAUCAGCGGCUAAGCGAAAGCAUUAAGCAUCCCACCUGGGGAGUACGCCGGCAACGGUGAAACUCAAAGGAAUUGACGGGGGCCCGCACAAGCGGAGGAACAUGUGG